rnacentral:rRNA from 1 species
GUGUCAGCAGCCGCGGUAAUACGAAGGGGGCUAGCGUUGUUCGGAAUCACUGGGCGUAAAGCGCGUGUAGGCGGACUGUUAAGUCGGGGGUGAAAUCCCGAGGCUCAACCUCGGAAUUGCCUUCGAUACUGGCAGUCUUUGAGUCCGGGAGAGGUGAGUGGAACUCCUAGUGUAGAGGUGAAAUUCGUAGAUAUUAGGAAGAACACCAGUGGCGAAGGCGGCUCACUGGCCCGGUACUGACGCUGUGACGCGAAAGCGUGGGGAGCAAACAGGAUUAGAUACCCUAGUAGUCC